AGAAAUUGCUCCCUGGUUACGUGUUUUCAGAGCAGAAAAUGCUGUUGACUUUUCACAGAUAACAUUUGAUCCCAGACAAGAAGAACUUAUUAUUGGAGCAAGAAACUACCUCUUCAGAUUACGUCUUGACGAUCUUACUCUAAUUCAGAUCUGCUCCGUGGCCCUUCUUUUACACCCUUGUUCCAAGCUAGUUUUAAAUUUCUGAUUAAAGAGAACUUGACCUGGGGCGUACAGAC